ACAACUCUCAGCAACGGAUAUCUUGGCUCUUGCAACGAUGAAGAACGCAGCGAAAUGCGAUACGUAGUGUGAAUUGCAGAAUUCCGCGAAUCAUCGAGUCUUUGAACGCAAGUUGCGCCCGAGGCUUGUCCGAGGGCAUUUCCGCUAGAGCGUCACC
rnacentral:rRNA from 1 species